rnacentral:rRNA from 1 species
UACAGAGGGUGCGAGCGUUAAUCGGAAUUACUGGGCGUAAAGCGUGCGUAGACGGUUGCAUAAGUCGAAUGUGAAAUCCCCGGGCUCAACCUGGGAAUUGCAUUCGAGACUGUGUAGCUGGGGUGCGGAAGAGGGAAGCGGAAUUUCCGGUGUAGCGGUGAAAUGCGUAGAUAUCGGAAGGAACAUCAGUGGCGAAAGCGGCUUCCUGGUCCAGCACCGACGUUCAGGCACGAAAGCGUGGGGAGCAAACAGG